UACUGCUCUAUAAUGAAUGAAGUAUGGAAUAAUGUUUACAUUGUGUUUUCGUGAAUCCGUGAGGGCUAGUUAGUGCACAAGUGUUUGCAGGUUGAUACAUCUGUAACAUUUUUCCACCGGAAUAUGCGGGGCUUGUUAACAGUUCCAGGCCGCCUAAUUCCCAUGGGUUGUUUAAUCUCCGGUAUCUACCACAGACUGACGUGGCCCAAAUUUGAGAGAAAGUGAGCAUCUCACCAGCUCCAGAUCUUGCCAGUUCUGUUGGUUUACGGAUAUCACCGAGGACAGCCCUAUGCUCCAGACCUGCUCAGUUUCCUCCAGCACUUUCAGGGAUUCAAGCCAAAUUCCCAGAGGGGUUUACCUUGGCCUUUAGUCAAAGGUCACCUGUAUGCCACUUUACACUCCUGAUAGCCGUAUACUAAAACCUGGAGACAACCAGAAACUGAAAGAACUCUAGUUGAUGUGAAGAAUUUCCGCUUCCUAGUUGCUGGAAUGGUCAAGGUGUAACAGAUGCGUUUCAUUGAUGACACACACCCUUCAUCUCAAGUAUUGGUGACACUCUGCCUUUGCUUUUGGUUCAAUUCAAUGAUACUAAAUGUAGAUGGAUAUGGUCAAAUGUUACAACACCAUGAGGUGGUUCAAGACAGCUGGGGCAGCAACUGAAUGUCAUCUGAAAAGCAGAAACUCACAAUUCAUGUGUUUUACGCUCCUGAUAUAAUAUAAGCCGUACAUCUAAAAUGAAAAGAAGAGGAAACGACUGCAAAAUGAGAGCAUGGCAAAGAUGAUACAGUGGAGGUGAAGAUAAAGAGAUACAAUGAGAUGCAAAGGGAAACUACCAUGAGAAAGGAAGAGACAAACCACAUGACAAUCAAAACGAGCUACACCAUUGUAUUUACAUGCCUCUUUUCUAUGGUGCUCUUUGUAGAGCUGUUCAUUCCUAAACAAAUGUGUCUAAAUGUGGCAUAGUUUCCAUGUCCACAGAAGUGAGGGCCCCAUCCAAUUAUGAUUGCCGUCAUUAUAUUAUGAUUGCAACUGAAAGGGCCUAAGGCCCAGGAAAUGCUUUCCAAGGUUUACACAAUAUAUUGGCUGCAUCUGCUGGAAACUUGGAUAAUCUGCAGUUUUACUGUUCCCAAUCCAGAAGUUCUGGGUCCUGAACGUUUGCCCAAUAUCCAUGAACCAUCAUUUCCCAAGUUUCGUGGACCUGUGAGAGCUUGGCUGAGACUUGACUAUAUAGCGAAUAAAGCCUCUCGCCUGCGGCUUAGCAAAUAUUCAAACAUAAUAACUUAGAGUCAUGCAUCAGGUUUCCAGUCAAAAUGUAAUGACCAGUGGUGUAGGUGACCACUCAACCAAUGCUAACAGUAAACCAACUGCCAUAUGAGCUCAGACAAUCCAUAGGGAUUGAUAGGACAUGUAAAAAGCUUUCUAAAAUAUUGUUCUCCUGGAACAAAAUUGAUGUUGCUUAUAUUUUGUCCCAGCCGCUGGCAUGCAUUGUGAUAACUUUGAACAAGAAUUCAAAGUGAUUGUUAAUAGGAAGGAUCAUACAUGUAGGAAUGCUAUUUAAAGGGGUCACCUCUUCUAUGCAUAUUAGUUACUUGCUCACAUGCAGGCUGUGAGUUACUUCUGGAUCUUGCUUCUGCAUUCCAAUUUCCUUUCCAAAAUUAUUAUGGAAUCUGCUUCCACCAUAUUUUCAGGCAAUGCAUUCCACUUUAUUACAAUUCAAUGCAGAAAAUGUUUCAUUUUACCUCAUGUUACCACUGGUUCUAUAAAAUCCUUCAUGAUUUUAAACACAUUGAUCAAAUUUUCUCUUCAUAAUCUUCGCUCUGAAGACAAUGACCGUAGCGUCUCUAAACUCUACAUAUUGCUGAACCAUUUUAUCCUCGGCACCAUUUUAUGAAAUCAGCUCCAACUGAUCUUCAUAUCCGUUCAAGAGUGUGGGAUCCAGAAUGGGGCACAAUAUUCAGUUGAGGCCUAACCUGUGGAUUAUAAAAGUUUAGUAUAACUUCCUAGCUUUUGUACUUUCUGCCCUUAUUCGUUUUACCAAGGAUUCCACAUGCUUUUUAACAGAAUUCUAGAUUUGUUGUGGCACCUAUAAAGAUUAUCCUGCCUAAAGAUGUUGCCAAAGAGAUGGGUUUUAAAGGCAGAAAGAGGUGAGCAGACUUUGGGGGUUAUGAAGUGAAAAUAGUUAUGAUACAACUGAUGGCUCAGGCAUGAAGCAGAGAGACUGGGUGCACAUACAAACAAUAUGAGAGGAUGAGAUUGGAACAGAGUGAAAAUAUUGCUUUUAUAAUUAACUCCCUCUCCAAUUCUUUUCUGCUGUUUCUGACUCUAUGGAUUUGUGCCAUAUGCUAUGUUCCAAAUGCAGCUGAUUUCUUUCCGGGCCAUUACUAUUUAGUAAUUAACUCCUAGGACAUGUGCAAAAUGGACUUGUCUUUUGAUGUUCGCUCUGUUUUCAUGUGGUAGCUCUCACUUUUCUGACCAAUUGAAAAUUUCCUGUGUAAGCAUAAAAUCUAUACUUUAGUAUUACAGUGUACAGACUUUAUUGAUGAUAGCAUCACAUUCAGUAUUAUUUCAGUAACAUGAUCAUGGUCAACACUGACAUUAUCUAUCAAAUCUGUGUUACCUAUCAUAACGUUUUGUGUAUUUUUUUUUGCAUGUCGAUUAAUAAAAGGAGAUAGUCAUGACAUACACAGGCAUCGGUAGUGACUAUUUGCUAAGAGCUCAUUCAUCAGACUCUUGGGUUAAAAAGGUUUUGCUUUAAUUUAAAAUGCUUGACCAAAGAUUCACCUGAGUUAUUCUGCAGGUGCUAAUAGCAUUUAUAAAAGG